CCCUACGGGGGGCAGCAGUGGGAGAUAUUGGACAAUGGGGGAAACCCUGAUCCAGCGACGCCGCGUGAGUGAAGAAGUAUUUCGGUAUGUAAAGCUCUGUCAGCAGGGAAGAAAGAAAUGACGGUACCUGUAGAAUAAGCUCCGGCUAACUACGUGCCAGCAGCCGCGGUAAUACGUAGGGAGCAAGCGUUAUCCGGAUUUAUUGGGUGUAAAGGGUGCGUAGACGGGUAUACAAGUUAGUAGUGAAAUCCCUCGGCUUAACUGAGGAACUGCUACUAAAACUAUAUAUCUUGAGUACUGGAGGG
rnacentral:rRNA from 1 species